rnacentral:tRNA from 1 species
AGCGGGUGUAGUUUAGUGGUAAAACUACAGCCUUCCAAGCUGUUGUCGCGAAUUCGAUUCUCGUCACCCGCUUUACUUUAUA